rnacentral:rRNA from 1 species
CCUACGGGUGGCAGCAGUGAGGAAUAUUGGUCAAUGGGCGCGAGCCUGAACCAGCCAAGUAGCGUGAAGGAUGACUGCCCUACGGGUUGUAAACUUCUUUUAUAAAGGAAUAAAGUGAGGCACGUGUGCCUCUUUGUAUGUACUUUAUGAUGAAGGAUCGGCUAACGCCGUGCCAGCAGCCGCGGUAAUACGGAGGAUCCGAGCGUUAUCCGGAGUUAUUGGGUUUAAAGGGAGCGUAGAUGGGUUGGUAAGUCAGUUGUGAAAGUUUGCGGCUCAACCGUAAGAUUGCAAUUGAAACUGGCAGUCUAGAGUACAGAUGAGGAAGGCGGAAUUCGUGGUGUAGCGGUGAAAUGCGUAGAUAUCACGAAGAACUCCGAUUGCGAAGGCAGCUUACUA